GGGACAGGACAGAGGGGGCGGGGCCAGAGGGGUAGAGAGAGCAGAACCUGUUUGAGUGGAUGACGCUCGCCCACUUGAAGAACAGAAGAGAACAAACACAGAACAGGAUGAGUGGACAGAACUUUAAGAGCAGGAGACUGACGGUCACAUCUGACCUCUGACCUUCAGAGUGACCUGCCAAACUGUCUGAGGGGCGGAGGCCGAGGAGCCCAGGGUCGUCACCAUGGCGACAACCUCAUCCCUGCUCAGCAGAGGUCUGGGUCUGGUCCUGGUGGAGUUUGAGUACGAGUACCAGGGUCGGGACGGGGUUCUGGUCUCCAUCAAACCCAACGAGCGCUACGUCCUGCUGGCCAAGACCAACGACCACUGGUGGCAGGUCCGCAACGACCGCGGCUCCAAACCC